GAAAUGAUCGUGCAGGUAACUUGAUUCACUUUUCAAUUUUUAUGGAGCCACCGCCGACCCCCAAUCACCCGCAUCCUCUCCUUCGCUGCUUAGCGCAAUAAGUAAAGUACAACGGGUCCAAACUAAUCGAUUCAUCGCCCGCAUCCAUAAAUAUCACAAAUAAAUGGGCAUGGGAAAUUUUCUACAAAGAAAAAGUAUGAAAAAACAAUAAAAAUUGUUGUAAAAAGAGGACUUCCCGGAAGGUCACCCAUCCUGGCACUACACCCUUCCAUGCACGCUUAACUUCGGAGUUCUAACGAGAUCCGUGCAUUAGUACUGAUAUGAUCGUGUAGGUAAAUUGAUUCAUAUUUUCAAUUAUUAUGGAUCACUGACACACAAUCUCCCGCUUCCACUCCUUUGUUCCGCAACGUAAAGGUUGAACUAUAACGAGUCCAAACUAGUCGUUUUGUCACCUGUAUCCGUAAAUAUCAAAAGUAAAUGGGCAUGGGGUAUUUUCUAUUAAGAAUAAGUGUGAAAAAUAAACAAAAAUGGUGUAAAAAGAGGACUUCCCGGUGGGUAACCAAUCGUGGCAUUCCGCCCGUCCAUUCACGCUUAACUUCGGAGUUCAAACGAGAUCCGUGCAUUAGUACUGAUAUGAUCGUGCAGGUAACUUGAUUCACCUUUGCAAUUUUUAUGGAGCCACCACCGACCCCAAAUCCCCCGAUUCCUCUCCUUCGCUGCGUAGCGAAACGGGGGAAGUACAACAGGUCCAAGCUAGUCGAUUCUUCUCCCGCAUCCAUGAAUAUCACAAAUAAAUGGGCAUGGAAAAUUUUCUACAAAGAAAAAGUGUGAAAAAUCAUUAAAAAUUAUUGUAAAAAGAGCGCUUCCACUCCUUUGUUCCGCAACGCAACGAGCGAAGUACAACAUGUCCAAACUAGUCGUUUCGUCACCCGUAUCCGUAAAUGUCAAAAGUAAAUGGGCAUGGGGAAUUUUCGAUUAAAAUUUAAGAAUAAGUGCGAAAAAUCUACAAAAAGGGUGUAAAAAUAGGACUUUCCGGUGGGUCACCCAUCCUGGCACUGCACCCGCCCAUGCACGCUUAACUUCAGAGUUCAAACGGGAUCUGUGCAUUAGUACGGAUAUGAUUGUGAAGGUAAGUUGAUUCACCUUUUCAAUUCUUAUUGAGCCACUCACCCCCAAUCCCCCGCUUUCUCUCCUUCGCACCGCAACGUAAAGGGUGAAGUACAACGGGUCUAAACUAGUCGCUUCAUUGCUCGCAUCCAUAAACAUAACAAAUAAAAGGGCAUGGGUGAUUUUUUAAAAAGAAUUAAGGUUGAAAAAUAAACAAAAAAGCUGCAAAAAGAGGACUUCCCGGUGGGUCACCCAUCUUGGCAUUGCACCUGUCCAUGCCCGCUUAACUUCGGAGUUCAAACGGGAUCUAUGCAUUAGUACUGAAAUGAUCGUGCAGGUAACUUGAUUCACUUUUCAAUUUUUAUGGAGCCACCGCCGACCCCCAAUCACCCGCUUCCUCUCCUUCGCUGCUUAGCGCAAUAAGUAAAGUACAACGGGUCCAAACUAGUCGAUUCAUCGCCCGCAUCCAUAAAUAUCACAAAUAAAUGGGCAUGGGAAAUUUUCUACAAAGAAAAAGUAUGAAAAAACAUUAAAAAGUGUUGUAAAAAGAAGACUUCCAGGCAGGUCACCCAUCCUGGCAAUGCACCAGUCCAUGCACGCUUAAUUUCGGAGUUCUAACGGGAUCCUUGCAUUAGUACUGAUAUGAUCGUGAGGUAAGUUGAUUCACAUUUUAAAUUCUUAUGGAGCCACUGACACACAAUCUCCCGCAUCCUCUCCUUUGUUCCGCAGCGCAACGAGUGAAGAACAACGGGUCCAAACUAGUAGUUUCGUCACCCGUAUCCGUAAAUAUCAAAAGUAAAUGGGCAUUGAGAAUUUUCUAUUAAGAAUAAGUGCGAAAAAUCAUUCAAAAGGGUGUAAAAAGAGGAUUUCCCGGUAGGUCACCUAUCGUGGCACUGCACCCAUCCAUGCACGCUUAACUUCGGAGUUCAAACGGAAUCUGUGCAUUAGUACGGAUAUGAUCGUGAAGGUAAGUUGAUUCACCUUUUCAAUUCUUAUUGAGCCACUCACCCCCAAUCCCCCGCUUUCUCUCCUUCGCACCGCAACGUAAAGGGUGAAGUACAACGGGUCUAAACUAGUCGCUUCAUUGCUCGCAUCCAAAAAUAUAACAAAUAAAAGGGCAUGGGAGAUUUUUUAAAAAGAAUAACGUUGAAAAAUAAACAAAAAGGUUGCAAAAAGAGGACUUCCCGACAGGUCACCCAUCUUGGCAUUGCACCCGUCCAUGCACGCUUAACUUCGUAGUUCAAACGGGAUCUAUGCAUUAGUACUGAAAUGAUCGUGCAGGUAACUUGAUUCACUUUUCAAUUUUUAUGGAGCCACCGCCGACCCCCAAUCACCCGCUUCCUCUCCUUCGCUGCUUAGCGCAAUAAGUAAAGUACAACGGGUCCAAACUAGUCGAUUCAUCGCCCGAAUCCAUAAAUAUCACAAAUAAAUGGGCAUGGGAAAUUUUCUAUAAAGAAAAAGUAUGAAAAAACAUUAAAAAGUGUUGUAAAAAGAGGACUUCCAGGCAGGUCACCCAUCCUGGCAAUGCACCAGUCCAUGCACGCUUAAUUUCGGAGUUCUAACGGGAUCCUUGCAUUAGUACUGAUAUGAUCGUGAGGUAAGUUGAUUCACAUUUUAAAUUCUUAUGGAGCCACUGACACACAAUCUCCCGCAUCCUCUCCUUUGUUCCGCAGCGCAACGAGUGAAGAACAACGGGUCCAAACUAGUAGUUUCGUCACCCGUAUCCGUAAAUAUCAAAAGUAAAUGGGCAUUGAGAAUUUUCUAUUAAGAAUAAGUGCGAAAAAUCAUUCAAAAGGGUGUAAAAGGAGGACUUCCCGGUAGGUCACCCAUCGUGGCACUGCACCCGUCCAUGCACGCUUAACUUCGGAGUUCAAACGGAAUCUGUGCAUUAGUACGGAUAUGAUCGUGAAGGUAAGUUGAUUCACCUUUUCAAUUCUUAUUGAGCCACUCACCCCCAAUCCCCCGCUUUCUCUCCUUCGCACCGCAACGUAAAGGGUGAAGUACAACGGGUCUAAACUAGUCGCUUCAUUGCUCGCAUCCAAAAACAUAACAAAUAAAAGGGUAUGGGAGAUUUUUUAAAAAGAAUAACGUUGAAAAAUAAACAAAAAAGCUGCAAAAAGAGGACUUCCCGGCAGGUCACCCAUCUUGGCAUUGCACCCGUCCAUGCACGCUUAACUUCGGAGUUCAAACGGGAUCUAUGCAUUAGUACUGAAAUGAUCGUGCAGGUAACUUGAUUCACUAUUCAAUGUUUAUGGAGCCACCGCCGACCCCCAAUCACCCGCUUCCUCUCCUUCGCUGCUUAGCGCAACGGGUAAAGUACAACGUGUCCAAAAUAGUCGAUUCAUCGCCCGCAUCCAUAAAUAUCACAAAUAAAGGGGCAUUGGGAAUUUUCUACAAAGAAAAAGUAUGAAAAAACAUUAAAAAGUGUUGUAAAAAGAGGACUUCCAGGCAGGUCAGCCAUCGUGGCACUGCACCCGUCCAUGCACGCUUAACUUCGGAGUUCAAACGGGAUCCGUGCAUUAGCAUGGAUAUGAUCGUGAAGGUAAGUUGAUUCACCUUUUCAAUUUUUAUUGAGUCACUCACCCCCAAUCCCCCACUUUCUCUCCUUCGCACCGCAACGUAAAGGUUGAACUAUAACGAGUCCAAACUAGUCGUUUUGUCACCUGUAUCCGUAAAUAUCAAAAGUAAAUGGCAUGGGGUAUUUUCUAUUAAGAAUAAGUGUGAAAAAUAAACAAAAAUGGUGUAAAAAGAGGACUUCCCGGUGGGUAACCAAUCGUGGCAUUCCGCCCGUCCAUUCACGCUUAACUUCGGAGUUCAAACGAGAUCCGUGUAUUAGUACUGAUAUGAUCGUGCAGGUAACUUGAUUCACCUUUGCAAUUUUUAUGGAGCCACCACCGACCCCAAAUCCCCCGAUUCCUCUCCUUCGCUGCGUAGCGAAACGGGGGAAGUACAACAGGUCCAAGCUAGUCGAUUCUUCUCCCGCAUCCAUGAAUAUCACAAAUAAAUGGGCAUGGAAAAUUUUCUACAAAGAAAAAGUGUGAAAAAUCAUUAAAAAUUAUUGUAAAAAGAGCGCUUCCACUCCUUUGUUCCGCAACGCAACGAGCGAAGUACAACAUGUCCAAACUAGUCGUUUCGUCACCCGUAUCCGUAAAUGUCAAAAGUAAAUGGGCAUGGGGAAUUUUCGAUUAAGAAUAAGUGCGAAAAAUCUACAAAAAGGGUGUAAAAAGAGGACUUUCCGGUGGGUCACCCAUCCUGGCACUGCACCCGCCCAUACACGCUUAACUUCAGAGUUCAAACGGGAUCUGUGCAUUAGUACGGAUAUGAUUGUGAAGGUAAGUUGAUUCACCUUUUCAAUUCUUAUUGAGCCACUCACCCCCAAUCCCCCGCUUUCUCUCCUUCGCACCGCAACGUAAAGGGUGAAGUACAACGGGUCUAAACUAGUCGCUUCAUUGCUCGCAUCCAUAAACAUAACAAAUAAAAGGGCAUGGGUGAUUUUUUAAAACGAAUAAGGUUGAAAAAUAAACAAAAAAGCUGCAAAAAGAGGACUUCCCGGCGGGUCACCCAUCUUGGCAUUGCACCUGUCCAUGCCCGCUUAACUUUGGAGUUCAAACGGGAUCCAUGCAUUAGUACUGAAAUGAUCGUGCAGGUAACUUGAUUCACCUUUUCAAUUUUUAUGGAGCCACCGCCAACCCCCAAUCACCUGCUUCCUCUCCUUUGCUGCGUAGCGCAACGGGUAAAGUACAACGGGUCCAAACUAGUCGAUUCAUCGCCCGCAUCCAUAAAUAUCACAAAUAAAUGGGCAUGGAGAAUUUUCUACAAAGAAAAAGUGUGAAAAAACAUUAAAAAGUGUUGUAAAAAGAGGACUUCCAGGCAGGUCACCCAUCCUGGCACUG
rnacentral:lncRNA from 1 species